UACGUAGGAGGCGAGCGUUAUCCGGAAUGAUUGGGCGUAAAGGGUGCGCAGGCGGGCUGUUAAGUCAGCGGUCAAAGCCCGGGGCUCAACCCCGGCCCGCCGUCGGAACUGGGUGCCUUGAGUGGGCGAGAAGUAUGCGGAAUGCGUGGUGUAGCGGUGAAAUGCAUAGAUAUCACGCAGAACCCCGAUUGCGAAGGCAGCAUACCGGCGCCCGACUGACGCUGAGGCACGAAAGUGCGGGUAUCGAACAGG
rnacentral:rRNA from 1 species